UUUGAGCUAGACGUUCACAUUAGUCACUAAUUUACACAUUGUCUUACCGUUAAGAAGACAUGGGCCCUGUCUUCGUUAAUCUUGCAAGGUUAUUAAGCACACUCCCAUUACUAGUCUCUGCUAUUCUAUUUUUGGCAUCUCUUUUUCGUCUGUUUUAACAUCUUCUCUACAACUUCUUUUCUUUUCUAUUCUACCCAAAUUUAGACGAAGCCUCUCUUCAACAGCACAUCACAGCAUUUCCACACAAGUACAAGUACUUUUACACAGUACAGCCAAACAGCUGAACACAACAGCUCCAACAACUAAACCAGCAGCACUUUAUGUGAGUAAAACACUCACCUGGCGCCAAUGUGGUGCAGGAAUAGAUGCGCUGAAGCUGCCGUGAUCCUCUGAAGGCUGUUGCUGAUCCUGUUCGUGACGCCAAUUUGUUGUGUCUGGGCUGUCCUCGAUGUGUAGAUGCAGAAGGAGGCUUCGUGACACUGGCUUGCUUGUAUAAGAGGAGUUUAUUAUAAAGACAAAACCAGUAUCAAUACAGCACUGCAGUUGCUGGGAGAGGACGGCCAAUGAUGUCCAGCUCUCCCAAACCAGAGUUUGUGACCCUGUUAUUUACAGUUAGGGAUGUAAGCCCUCCUACAUUCCCAAAUUAUGUUUCCUUACCAUCUUGUGUUUGGUAAACCUAGAGUGGUGUUUUAUGACCUGUGGCCUGUGACCAGUGAAGUGCCCCUCCCAGGCUAUCUCACCCCAGGUAUCACUAAUAAUAAACAGAUAAACACAAGCCCACAGUCCACAACUGGUUUCUCAGGCUAUUCCUGAGAAAUACCUUAUGGCAAUGCAUAGUGAUGUAGUACUCCAGAUACCACACUGGCCUUGUUGUCCACCAUUAUAACAUGCUUCUGAAAAUGAUUGGACGUUUGGAUUACAGUUUCUUUCUCCACUGCUUCCACUCCAUUGCUGCCACUGACCCAAGGCUAGUUGUGCAGAUGGAACCAUAGGAGCGACUGGCAUCUGCUGGGGUGGUUGGCACUGAAUCUGUUCUUGCUGUUGUUGCACUUUCGCUUGAUCUGGUUGAGAUUGACUUUGCAUAACUAAAGCUUGCUUCUUCUCCUUCUUUUUGCUAUCUCCAAGCUGUAUUUGGUUAAGUUGUCUCAGAGUCUCUUGAUCUUGCUCUCUCUGCUCAUUCUCUUUCUUACUGUACAGCUCCACUUGAUAUGCUAUAUGGUCUGUGUAUACCCCUUUUGUCAUACUACCAAGACCAACCACCUCUGCUAAUUUACUUCUCACUGGCUGGGGCAACCCUUUCUGUAUUUUAGCUUGCAAAAUGGACUGCUCCAUUUGGUGCAUAAGAUAGCUCGUGGCUUUAGCUUCCUUUUAAUAACUUUUCUAGCGUCAAAUGUACACUUUGGUUUCCAUUCAGUUUAUCUUGACGAUCCCUGGUUCUUCCAUUUCGUUGUACUUUCUUUCAGUUUUCUCAUUGAAAUUGUAGUGAUAGUACGUAGUCAUGUAAGCCAAAGUCUGCCCGCAUCAAAGACUUUGGCAGAUGAAAUGUAUCUAUGCCACAAUUUCAGAGCCGUUUUUGUGAAAUGGCUAUGUUAUGCGCAGUGGACCAACGUAGGUAUUUCACGUUUUUGAGUGAGACUGCAUUGCCUGCACCGACACACCUGCAGCUCAUCACCAGCAAUCAGCGGCUCCACUUAAACUCUGCCUGGAUGUCUCUCAGUGCCAGAUUAUUCCCACACCUUCUGUGGUAUCUCGGCCAGUUUGACUGUCACUAUUCAGAAAUUAUCUCUUCUUAACUAGUGCCACAACUCGCUCUCUGGAUCCCUCACCUGCCUCACAGCUAAACUCAGGCCCGGACUACACGUAUAUAGAUAUUUAUUUAGCAGGAUAUUUUUGUACUCCCGUCUAAAUAAAUGUAUCUGUCCACACGUGUUAGUUCUCAAAAAUAUCUGCGUCCACACGUAGCCUUCAAACUCAAUCCUAUCUGGUGCCGCUUAAAAAAAAUUCAGGAACAAAGCUACCUGAUUGGCCGAUGAAUCGUAACAGCGUGAUGCGUCAUGCAUUGUUUGCGGAAGCUACGCUAGUGCCUCAGGUCCAUGUGACGGAUCAUGUGACCAAUAAAGUAUUGGCCGCAGCAGACGCAUCUGUGAGCUGGCUGACUGGUGGAUGUAAUUGUAUAAAACAAGGUUCACUUGCAAGGCUGAAAUUAGCCCCAAAAGGGCAAAACAAACGUAAAGAAUACCCUGUAUGUCCGCCAUCGUUGUUGUUGUUUUUCUUUUUAAUUCGCAUGCACAAGCUGCGGUUUGACGUCAUCGAUCCGUAAAAGUUCAACCACACGAAUCUACUUGUACGGAUAUUUUUUUAUUUCUCCACUUGUUUUUUCGGAUUCAGAUUUAUCCGGUUUGGGUGUUCCAAACUCCCGUUUUGGUGUGGUAGGGAGGCCUAAUCAGACAAAAAUAUGUGCGGUUUGAAAUAAAUCCGCAUUCGUGUAGUUGGGGCCUCACUCAUCGUCACCCCACCAGAACUCCUGCAUUGGAUCUAGGAUCUCCAUUCCCCUUAUCACCUGCUCCUUUAACCCAUUAAGACCUGAACCCUGUCUGAGACACGCCUCUGAAAUCCUGAGGGCAGUUUUGAGAAGGGCCCCCAGAUCCUGAGGUCUUCUGAAGUGUUGAGGUUUACAAAAAGCUGAUAUCUCGGCCUCUGUAGCAGAUAGAAACAAAAUUCUAUGCUAUUUGAGAGUUUACACAUGUGGCUUUCAAAAUAGCUAUCUUUUAUUUUUCACCUUCAUUACAUUAUUGAAAACUUUGAACAAACAAACUCUAAUGAAAUACAGCAGCUGUAUAAAUAAAAGUAAAGGCUCUGCACUGGAGAAUAACAAACUAUUUGAUUUCUGUAAAACAAGUGGCAGUCACGAUAAAGUGUUUAUUCAAUACAAAUAUAAAAAUAAGGUGUUGAAAAGGUAUUCAGCUGCCCUGGUAUAGGGCCAGUACAAGAGCAGCACUAAAAAAUAAAAAAAUAAAUUAAUAAAUGGCUGACAGUCUGUUCAUCUCUUUGCUCACCCAAAGUCAUGCAACACUUAUAGAAAUCGCUGAUAGUGUGAGCCAAGGCACUCAAUAUGAAGAGGGUGAUUACACUGCUGGAUGCUUCUCCUCUGAAGCUGCUCUCUGCCUCCGUCAUUGUUUACUUUCCUCAUGAAGCACGUAGCAAGAUCCAAGCAUGAAUCCAAUUGCUUUAUUAGCCUAUCAGAGGCAGAUGGGUAUGAUGGUUUGAUUCACCACGACUCCAGAAAUGAUUGAAAAACUACAGAAUGUUACAAAAUGACGUAUUUAUGUUCCCGGCUUUAAAGCAGAAAUGUGCAGCGGCGCCGUUGGUUUGGAAGGUCGAAAUGCGUACAUGCUUCUCCCGGCUUGAAGGGUUGAAAUAUCUACAUGCACCCGGCUUUCCAGUAGAAAUGCGCAGCUGCGCUCCCAGCUUGGAAGGUUGAAAUACGUACAGGCUGUCCCAGUUUAAAUGGGUUAAAUAAUUGUACACUCCCUGCCUCCAGUCUGCUUCUGAGUCCUAUUUAAUACAUUAUGGGAAACUGUAACAGAAUAAUCUGGCCUACAUGGACUCACUCCUUUAGCCCUCUCCUUUAAAAGCACACUUCUCAGACGUCAUGAACAAAUGCCCCCCCCCCCCAACUUCAGCCCUCAAGCUAUCCUAAUAAUAAAGCAAAAAUUGCUUACUUGAUAAAUGGUUUACUUCAAGGUGGAGCUGUCAAUUAGGCUACAGCACACUGGAAAAAUUGUCUUCAUUUGAGUUAUUCUGUAGAGAGCUGAGUAAAGUUUUUUGAUCACCCAGUUAAGGAUCAAGAGGCAGCUGAGAGGCUGUUAACUUUAGUCCAGGGGUCUAAAUCUGGCCUCAUACUCUAUUGAUUUUCGUAUCCUUGCAAAUGAGUGUGGUUGGGAUGAGGCAGCUCACCAGGGGAUUGUCCUUGAGGGGUUAUCUGAGCAAAUUGAGCAAAGAUGAGUUAGCUUCUAGAGAUGAAGCUUCCUCUCGAGGAGUAAUUUUUUUAUCUAUUAAGAUAGAUAACUGACUCAGGGAGAGAGAGAGAGAGAGAGUUAGAGAGAGAAAGAGAUCUGUCAGGCCUAAUAGAUGUAACCUGGCUGGGCCAUCCUGUUGCAUGAAUCACUUGCCGUUCCUUCCCACAACAGUCUGGACUUCAGUCCAUUGGGAGUGUGUAUCCCCGAUCAGAAAAUAACCGGGCCAAUCAGAGACCGUGUUUCCACUGUUACCCGCACAACAGGGAAAGGCAGCCCCUGAUUGGUCCAUGUGUAGAUGGUGACGUCUAACACAUGCUGCGGGACUUUUCAAAGCUCCGUUCAUUCAGAACACCGUAAAUUCUGCAGUUGACUUUGCAAAGUCGGCAGAAAUCGUUUAUAUCCGACGUCUUCUGCAGAUAUAAACGAUUUCUGCCGACUUUGCAUAGUCAACUGCAGAAGUUUUCCAGACCCUCAUGAAUGACAUCCUCAGGGACAUGCUCAAUGGAUUCGUUUUCGUCUACCUAAACAACAUCUUCCUUUCCUUCCGCUCCCUAGAGGAACACCGUAAACACAUCUGCCUGGUCCUACAACGCAUUCCUCGAGAACCACCUCUUAGUCAAACUGGAGAAAUGUAAGUUUCAUGCCCCCUUAGUUAACUUCCUAACAUUCCUUGACAUUGCCUGUGGACAACUCAAACCGGACCCCUCCAAGAUCCAAGCAGUUACUGAUUGGCCCAUACCCACCACCUCCAAGAAUCUUCAAUGCUUCCUCGGCUUAGCCAAUUUCAACUGGCGCUUCAUCAGAGAUUACAGUAAGGUAGCCAACCACCUAACCCGCCUCACCUCCACCAGCUUCCCCUUCCUGUGGACUCCAGAAGCAGACAGGGCAUUCACCAAACUCAAGUCUCUGUUCACUAGCGCCCCUGUUCUCUGACCCAAGUCUCCAGUUCAUGGUAGAGGUGGAUGCCUCUGAUACAGGAGUAGGAGCUGUCCUCUCCCAGUGAAGCCCCCUCACCAACAAGUUCCAUCCAUGUGCCUUUUUCUCACCUCCCCUGGAUUGAGCAUGCACACAACUCCUUCAUCAGCUCUGCUACAGGUAUGUCCCUUUCAUGGUUUGCUACAGUUUCCAACCCCCUUUGUUUCCUGAACACAAACUUGAGGUGGCAGUUCCUUCGGUGAAGUAGCACUUGAGGCGGAUUUGGGGUGUGUGGAAGGAGGCGGGCAUUGCUCUCAUCCACUCGGCUGAAAGGAUCAAGCAGCUGGCUGACCACCAUUGCUCCCCCGCUCUGGAGUACAAACUGGGACAGAUGGUGUGGCUCUCCUUCUGUGACCUCCCCCCUUCAAGUGGAUUCAUGUAAGCUUUCCCCCCACUUCAUUGGACCAUUUCCUGUUAUUAAAAUCAUUAAUCCUACAUCUGUCAAACUCAAGCUCCCUGACUUCCUCAAGAUCCAUCAUGUCUUCCAUGUGUCCCUCCUCAAGCCUGUCUAUUCCAGCAACCUUAGCCCUCCAGCCGUUCCCCCUCUACCCCCCUGGAUCAUUGACAACCACCAAGCUUUCUGUGUCCAGGAUUUUGGACGUUAGGCCCCAGUGACGGGGGUUCCAGUUCUUAGUGGACUGGAAGGGCUAUGGCCCGGAGGAGAGAUACUGGAUUUCUCGUAAGCUCAUUUUGGACAACAUCCUUAUCAGGGACUUUUACUCUGAGCAUCCUGACAAGCCAGGAAGGAUGCCAGGAGGCGUCUAUUGAGAAGGAGGUACUGUCAUGAUUACACACUGUUUUGGACAUUUGGUGGCAUUAGUGAGUGAGUUUGUAGUUUGUAGAGUUUUCUUACCCCCUUUUUACCUCCACAGAAGUUGGGUGGCUCCUCCUGCACCAACACACCUGCAGCUCACAGUAGUGUGGCGCCGCUCGAGGUGGCAGCCUGUUACAGCAGUGUUUACACCUGUGUUUGAUAUUUUUUGUAUCUUUUUCGCUUUCAUUUCUGUCCUGACACAUGUGUUUUCACCAGUUAGUGUCUAACUACUGGAUACACCGACUUUUGUCUUUUUUUAAACUUUUCUGGCCAUUUUUCUGGACACUUUUUGGCACUUUAGUACUCAUGGCAAGGGAGGUUCACAGACACGACAGUGAGGGCUUUGUUUACAUGCACGACCAGCUGAAUGCGCUGAGUAAAAAGACAUCUACAGGAGGAAGCUGAAGGCCAAACUCCAGCAAAACAACGUGAGGGAUGUGUGGACUGGGAUGAAGCACAUCACAGGAUGUAAAGGGAGACAAAGGCAACCAUCAGGCAGCCUGGAGAGAGCCAACGAGCUGAACACUUUCUUUAACUGGUUCAGCUCACAGCCGUCUGUCUCCCUCAUGCAUCCAGUCUCCCACACUCCCUCACCACAUCAACCUCUCCCCCCUGCGGUGAGCAAUCCUGUGCAGCACCUCUCCUCCCCCCUCCCCCUCAACCUCCCUCUUCACUGGAUAUAUCAGCACCCAGUUACCGCCCCAUUUCACUUCUCAACGUUGACAUUAAAAUGAUCACCAAGGCACUUUCCCACCGAUUAGAAAAAAUUAUUCCAUCCAUUAUUCACCCGGAUCAAACAGGAUUUAUUAAAGGAAGAAACUCAUCCAAUAACACACGCAGACUAUUCAAUAUAAUGCACCACUCAACCACACAUAACCAUAAUUCAAUCAUAGCCACCUUGGAUGCAGAAAAAACCUUUGACAGAGUUAACUGGUCAUUCCUCAUCAACACCCUACACAGUUUCGGCUUUGGGGAAUCAUUUAUUAACUGGAUUAGAACACUUUACACCUCACCUACAGCCACAGUUAUUACUAACGGACAAACCUCACAAAGCUUCACUCUUCACAGGGGGACCAGGCAAGGUUGCCCACUCUCUCCCUCUUUGUUCACCAUUUUCAUUGAACCCCUAGCAGCAGCCAUCCGUCAGAACCCCCUCAUUACAGGAAUCCAAACCCCCAACAUGCAUCAUAAAAUCAGCCUCUAUGCAGAUGACAUUUUACUUUUUAUGGAGAAUCCAGAAUCAUCACUACAAGAAGUAAUCAGAGUCAUCAAAUCCUUCUCCCUUCUCUCUGACUACUCAAUAAACUGGAACAAACUCCAUACUUCCAUUAAACACCAACAGUCUGGCUGUGGCAGCCCUUACAACACCCAUCCCCUUCUGCACAAGUCACAUCACCAACUUAGGCAUCCACAUUUCGCCCAGGCUGUCAGAGUUGAUCAACCUGAAUUUCACUCCACUCCUAAAAACAAUCAAUGACGAUCUCCAACGAUGGAUGAACCUCCCAUUAUCUAUUAUAGGCAGAAUAGCAACAGUUAAAAUGACAAUCUUCCCCAAAAUCAGUUACCUUUGUUCAAUGAUUCCCACUCAUCCACCUCUCACCUGGUUUCAUUCCCUCGAUUCAUCUAUCAACAAAUUUUACUGGAAAAAUACCCCCCCCCCCCCGAAUCAAACUGGCCACUCUUCAAAAAUCAAAAAGUUUAGGCGGACUCAAUGCUCCAAAUUUUCAUUAUUACUCACUAGCAAAUCAACUUCAAUACAUCUACAAAUGGACCCACCCCACCCAGUCAGAUAGCACUUGGUUAGACGUAGAACAAAUAGUUAGCAAAAACAUCCAUCUCUCAGACUUACCAUUCCUUAGUCAAACUAUCAAAAAACACCCUUGUUUCUAAAACCCCACAAUAUCAUCGGCCCUGACAGCCUGGUGGAAAUUCUACAGCAUUACUAACUCCACUUUGGCACCGUCGCUUUUCACCCCGAUCUGGCACAACUUGGACUUCAUCAGCAAUAAACAAUCACUAUACUUCAGCACCUGGGUAGAGAAAGGGAUUACUCGCCUCAAACAUAUCUUCAACAAUAACACCCUGGUCCCAUUCUCUCUCCUGGUCCAGAAGUUUGGCAUCAGGAGCCAUCAAUUCUUACAAUAUCUUCAGGUUUCAUCAUCUAUCCAAUCAACAAUGAAAAACAAGAAUAUAAACUUAGACCUCCCCCUGUUACCCUCUAAAUUCAUUAACAUCCCUUCCUCAAAUAAACUUCUAUCUAAAAUAUACAAAUCAUUAUCACAGGCCGAUUCAACACCCUCCAUACCUUCAGAAAAAUGGGAAACUGACCUCUCCAUUGCUCCUGAUGCUGACUUCUGGCCCCAAAUCUGCAAGAACAUUUUCUCCAUGACAAUUUACAACUCAUACAAUACAAAAUCCUUCAUAGAACUCAUCUGACUGGACACAAAAUGCAAAAAAUGGGCUUCUCAUCAUCUGGAAACUGUUCACACUGCUCACUAAACAGCACUGAUACCUAUAUUCAUGCAACCUGGCACUGCACACCUGUUCACCACUUCUGGAGAAACAUUACAGAAACUUUAUCCCAGAUCAUGGGCUGCCACAUCCCACUUUCCCCUUCCCUCUGUUUAUUAGGAGACCUAUCUACAUUAAAACUUGACAAAAUACACACACGUUCACUUCUAGUGGUGCUGACCGUCGCCAGGAAAACUAUCCUCAUGAACUGGAAGUCUCGGAACUCCAUACACAUCAUACACUGGAAAAACCUGCUCACAGACUACAUCUCCCUAGAAAAAACUCCUCUGACAAUAAUCAUAACUCUACCUGGUUAUCAUUCAUCACUUUUCUACAAUCAUAAUCUGCCACAAACCAGUCACAACAUCAUCCAUCUCAGUUCUCUGACACUUUCAUUCCCAAUUUUUUAUUUUUAUUUUUAUUUUUUUUAUUUAUCUAUUUAUUAUUAUUAUUAUUUUUUUGUUUUUUACUACAUAUUACUACAAAUAUUAUGAUGAAUAUUAUUGUCAUUGUCAUUUUCUAUUAUUAUUUAUACUUAUUUAUUUAUACUUACAUUUACAGUUAUUAUUUUCUGCUCGGGUCCCUGCUGGGUCGCGCCUGUUAAGCCAUGACCUGUGAUCUCCUUGCCCUCCCGGCCUCCCCCCUCCCCC
rnacentral:lncRNA from 1 species